CGAGCCGGGGGCUUCCUGUGCCGCAGCGCCCUGCAUUAUUGAUCGCGACGCUGCCGCAGAGCUGGGAGGCGCCCGGCGCCAUGGCGCCCAGCCUCCUGCGGCGACGGGAACGUCGAUGGGCGGGGGCGAGUCGGCGGCACACCGCGCUCCCGCGGUUCUUGGCAAACCAGAGCUUUCCGUCGACUGCAUGGCGUUUAGUUGAAAGCAGGCCAGAACUUACUGCAAGCAGCCGAACAGCCGUAAACUGCUUUCCAAAAGGAGCAUGAGCCCUCCGCUCUGCCACGGAGCCUAACAGCUGUCGACACUCAAUGUGUGGACGGGCACUGUACAGGAAUAGUUACCUUCUAAUGGAGUCAAAAGGUAACUCCUGAUGAAAGCUUCUGUGGAUAUUUUCACAAGCACAAUGCACAAGAGAGAGAUGGGAGUCGUCACGCAUCUCUGCCAGGCAGGCUGUGGUCCUGUUGGAUGCUGGAGCUCCUGGGAGCCUCAACAUCAACAGCACUCCCCUUCCCUCCGGCAGGUGCAGAUCCCUGAUUGUCCCUGGCUCAGCACUGAGAGACACUUGGCUCAUAGAUGCUGGGAGGAUGUUGCUAAGGACUCAGAGCCUACAUGUCCAACCCCACCUCUCCAAUUGAUGUUUUGGUCCAAGAGAAGGAAAGUGUGUGUUUCUGACACCAUUUAUUGCCUAUGUAAAGAAUGUCAUA